GAUAAACGCUGGCGGCGUGCCUAAUACAUGCAAGUCGAACGGACAGGUAGCAAUACCUGUUAGUGGCGAACGGGUGAGUAACACGUUGGGAACCUACCCUUAUGACCGGAAUACCCAAAGGAAACUUUGGCUAAUGCCGGAUACGUGGGGAAGACACAAGUCUUCUUCAUAAAAGGCAGCUUCAAAGCUGCGCAAAAGGAUGGACCUGCGGCGCAUUAGUUAGUUGGUGAGAUAAUAGCCCACCAAGACGAGGAUGCGUAGCCGACCUGAGAGGGUGAUCGGCCACACUGGAACUGAGACACGGUCCAGACUCCUACGGGAGGCAGCAGUAGGGAGUAUUCGGCAAUGGGGGAAACCCUGACCCAGCAACGCCGCGUGAAGGAAGAAGGCUUUCGGGUUGUAACUUCUUUACCAGGGACGAAGGACGUGACGGUACCUGGAGAAAAGCCACGGCUAACUACGUG
rnacentral:rRNA from 1 species